rnacentral:rRNA from 1 species
UACGUAGGGGGCAAGCGUUGUCCGGAUUUAUUGGGCGUAAAGAGCGUGUAGGCGGCUGGGUAGGUCCGUUGUGAAAACUCGAGGCUCAACCUCGAGACGCCGAUGGAAACCCUCCAGCUAGAGUACGGAAGAGGAGAGUGGAAUUCCUGGUGUAGCGGUGAAAUGCGCAGAUAUCAGGAAGAACACCCGUGGCUAAGGCGGCUCUCUAGUACGGUACUGACGCUGAGACGCGAAAGCGUGGGGAGCGAACAGG